rnacentral:rRNA from 2 species
GAGUUUGAUCCUGGCUCAGGAUGAACGCUGGCGGCGUGCUUAACACAUGCAAGUCGAGCGAGAGCUAUCAAUUGGAGGACUUCGGUUCAAAGAGAGAUAAGGAAAGCGGCGGACGGGUGCGUAACGCGUAGGUAAUCUGCCCAUAUCAUCGGGAUAACACAACGAAAGAUGUGCUAAUACCGAAUAAAAUACAUUUAUGGCAUCGUAGAUGUAUCAAAGUGUUAGCGGAUAUGGAUGAGCCUGCGUCUGAUUAGCUAGUUGGUGGGGUAAAGGCCUACCAAGGCAACGAUCAGUAGCCGACCUGAGAGGGUGAUCGGCCACACUGGAACUGAGACACGGUCCAGACUCCUACGGGAGGCAGCAGUGGGGAAUAUUGCACAAUGGGCGAAAGCCUGAUGCAGCAACGCCGCGUGAACGAAGAAGGCCUUCGGGUCGUAAAGUUCUGUCGCAUGGGAAGAUAAUGACGGUACCAUGUGAGAAAGCCCCGGCUAACUACGUGCCAGCAGCCGCGGUAAUACGUAGGGGGCAAGCGUUAUCCGGAAUUACUGGGCGUAAAGGGUGCGUAGGUGGUCUGACAAGUCAGAGGUGAAAGGCAACGGCUCAACCGUUGUGAGCCUUUGAAACUGUUGGACUUGAGUUCUGGAGGGGAAGUCGGAAUUCCUAGUGUAGCGGUGAAAUGCGUAGAUAUUAGGAGGAACACCGGUGGCGAAGGCGGACUUCUGGACAGAUACUGACGCUGAGGCACGAAAGCGUGGGGAGCAAACAGGAUUAGGUACCCUGAUAGUCCACGCCGUAAACGAUGAGUACUAGGUGUUGGCCCAAGAGGGUCGGUGCCGCAGUUGACACAUUAAGUACUCCGCCUGGGAAGUACGCUCGCAAGAGUGAAACUCAAAGGAAUUGACGGGGACCCGCACAAGUAGCGGAGCAUGUGGUUUAAUUCGAAGCAACGCGAAGAACCUUACCUAAGCUUGACAUCCCUCUGACCGCAGGGUAAUGCCUGCUUUCCCUUAUGGGACAAAGGAGACAGGUGGUGCAUGGUUGUCGUCAGCUCGUGUCGUGAGAUGUUGGGUUAAGUCCCGCAACGAGCGCAACCCUUGUCUUUAGUUGCCAUCAGGUAAUGCUGAGCACUCUAAAGAGACUGCCGAGGACAACUCGGAGGAAGGUGGGGAUGACGUCAAAUCAUCAUGCCCCUUAUGCUUAGGGCUACACACGUGCUACAAUGGCUGUUACAGAGGGUAGCCAAACCGUGAGGUGGAGCCAAUCCCACAAAAGCAGUCUAAGUUCGGAUUGUAGGCUGAAACUCGCCUACAUGAAGCUGGAGUUACUAGUAAUCGCAGAUCAGAAUGCUGCGGUGAAUGCGUUCCCGGGUCUUGUACACACCGCCCGUCACACCAUGGGAGUUGGGGGGGCCCAAAGUCAACGAUCCAACCGCAAGGAGGAAGUUGCCUAAGGCAAAACCAAUGACUGGGGUGAAGUCGUAACAAGGUAGCCGUACCGGAAGGUGUGGCUGGAUCACCUCCUU